rnacentral:rRNA from 1 species
GCUAAACCCCUAGCCCUAACACCACAAAUGAAGUAACAUCACCCUACUACACUAAUAAAACAUUUUUCCAACCUAGUAAAGGCGAUUAAAAAGUCCCUAGGAGCCUCAACACCAGUACCGCAAGGGAACGGUGAAAUAAUAGUGAAAUAACACAAAGCACCACAAAGUAACGAUUAACCCCUGUACCUUUCGCAUCAUGGUCUAACUAGAAUAAUCAAGCAAAGCGAACCUUAAGUCUGACACCCCGAAACUAGACGAGCUACUUCAGAACAGCCCUCCGGGCCAACCCUUCUCUGUCGCAAAAGAGUGGGAAGAUUUUCAAGUAGAGGCAAUAAACCUAUCGCGUCUAGAGAUAGCUGGUUACUUGGGAAAAGGAUUUUAGUCCAACUUUAAAUCUCUCUAUAACCCUAAAUACACCCACAGAUUUAAAUUUUAUUCAAAUAAGGUACAGCCUAUUUGAAACAGGAUACAACCUACCAGAUCGGGUAAUGCCCUAGAAAUGUGACCAAGUAGGCCUAAGAGCAGCCAUCUUUUAAACGGCGUUACAGCCUAAUCACUCUCUACCACCAAUUCCAACUACAACCCAAACCCCCUCACCCCUACCAAGUGACUUCAUACUAAUAUGAAAAACCUCAUGUUAGAACUAGUAACAAGAACAAUGAUUCUCCUUAAAAUAAGUGUAAACCGGACUGAAUACCUCACCGGCAUCUAUCGUCAAUGAAUAUUUAGUAAUAACCCCACAAGAAAACCUUACUUAUCAUAACGUUAACCUAACACUAGAACUUUCAAGGAAAGAUUAAAAAAGAGGGAAGGAACUCGGCAAAUGUUAACCCCGCCUGUUUACCAAAAACAUCGCCUUCUGCCACCAAUAGAAGGUCCCGCCUGCCCAGUGAUAAACUUAAACGGCCGCAGUAUUCUGACUGCGCAAAGGUAGCACAAUAACUUGCCCUCUAAAUCAGGACUAGUAUGAACGGCAUCACGAGGGUUCUACUGUCUCCCCCCUUUAAUCAGUGAAACUAAUCUCCCCGUGAAGAAGCGGGGAUAGACCCAUAAGACGAGAAGACCCCAUGGAGCUUAAAACUAAGUACCACCUGCCUUACCUACACCACCUUAACCUGGCAGACCUCCCUUACUAGUUUUCGGUUGGGGCAACCACGGAGUACAACAUAACCUCCGCAACGAAAGGGACUUCCUCCCUAAUCAAAGGACUACCACCCGCAGAAUCAAUAUAUUGACCCAAUUGACCCACUACCGUGAGCAACGAACCAAGUUACCCUGGGGAUAACAGCGCAAUCUAUUUCAAGAGCUCCUAUCGACAAAUGGGUUUACGACCUCGAUGUUGGAUCCGGGUAUCCCAGUGGUGCAGCC